CAGAGGGCGGUUGGGUCCUUAAGUUUGGUAUCCGCCAUGGUUUCUGUAAGUUUGGUUGGAGCAAGAUUUCAAGAUGGAUGACGGCGCGGGACUUUCGGCUACACAGGCCACAGAAUGGUGUCAGAGGGCAGUGGACGAAUGUAUGGGAUUUCAUGCGCCGAGUAGUCACCAGUGUGUUAUGAGAAGGACCGACAGUGUGCUGGGCACAUCGACACCAGCCACAAGUUGAUCAGAUCCUGUUCCUCCAAGUGCCACCCCACAACUCUGAAGUUCUUUCUUGAAGCUACAGAGAAAUAUGGCUUUCCAUCCAGGAUAGAGCACCUGUGGCAUGACAGACUGCUAGAUCCAACAAACUGUGCUUGUGGCUUCUCUGCAGUUUGUUUGCCAAAAAUCCAAGCUGGUCUGGAUGCAUUCACUGAGGGAUGGAACAACCCUUCACUCCAAACAGAAUGCAACUACACUAACCUUUGGGGACAUUGUCAACCCUCCUGAGAACAAUGAGGUGGACUCGUUUCCAGAUGUGUACAUGGAUUAUGCUGGAGUACAGUUUCUAGAACCAGUUUUACAAUUGCAGACCAAAAUCAGACAGCUUUUAAAGAUGACUAUUACAGUAAAUAUUCACCAUUCUACAGCAUCAGAUGACAUUGCCAAUUUCAGUGUGCUGCAGCAUGGAAUAUCCUGGCUCUUAACUGUCCACAGUAACGAAGGACAUGAAGCAGAGCCUGAUAGGUACUGAACUUUGUUUUGACCUAUGUCGAGUUCCUCACAUGUUCCACAGUUAUGAAGACUUCUCCAGUCAUGCAACUGCAUUGCAGUUCACCUGUUGCAUGCUGCUCACUUGGUUCUCCUUCAUAUCCUUUGUUAGACAGUUAAGUCAGACAUUUAUAUACUGCAGCACACUCUGAAACAGUAGUUGGAAGUGCAUGCACACAGCUUGUGAAAGAGGUGAGGUACACUGCCUUGAGAACUUCGGCACCUGGCUGAGCUGCGAUGGAGUGGCUGCAAAAGAUUUAAAAAUGUUUUUCUAAAAGCUUCACUGCAUUAAUAAUUAAUUAUAAACUUGUCUGUUUCAGUGUAUGUCUUCAAGAACCUGUUUUACAAUUCUAGAUGCACUGUGUAUGAACAAUCGUCAUUUCAUGGCCAGGGAAUCUUGUUGAAGAUUGCCUAAAGGGUUAAUGGCUAAGGCUUGUGACCAGCAGAGGGACAAAGUCAGCAGUGUUGCCUU